GCCGUGCGGGGAGAUGGCCCCCACGUUGCAGGACUUGUCGUACCUGCUCGGGCUUCCCAUUGCGGGGUAAGCCGUUGGUCCGGUUGCCGUGCCACCUACCUGGAGGGCGAAGCUUCAGGAGUGGUUUGCUCCAGUGAACCCGCCACAUUUUUCGAGCGAGUGAUGAGGCAGUUCAGGCGACGACGACACUUCCCUCUCCUACCCCGAGCGUUCCAAGCCGUGCCGCGCAGCGUACACGAAUAUUCGCGCAAGAGAUAUCAUGGCAACGAAGUGAACUGGGUUGUCAAGCUGCAGGAGUACGUAGGAGCGUGGCUAGACGCAUCUGACGAUGUGUGGGACGAGCCGCAGCCACACAUAGAGGCGUUUUACGACGCAUACCUCUGUUGGUACCUCACUGGCACGCGUCCGUACGUCCCUCUUUCACGUAUUGAUGACGCGGAGCAUCAGCACCCACCGACCAUCUCAGACACGUAUCCCUUGUACCGUGAUCAGGUGCAGCGUGUGCGCGGUACGUCUUUCGCAACUUCAAUUAUUAAAUCUUUUUUAAAAAAAUCGAUAACAAUAUUAGUCUGCUUCCCAUUACUCAUGGAGAUCGAUCUGAUCAACUGCGCGGAGGUCGAAGCUGCAUCUCAGAUCACGUUAUUUGACCAUGGAGUACGUGUACCGAAGGCAUAAUACAAAAAGAGCUUUCGUCGGAUUUAUGACAACUUGACGCGAGCAUUACGUGCACUGACGUGUUGCACCAGAGAUGACGUGCGGACCUCCAGCUCAUCUCAGGCGUCCGCCCACGUGUACACAGCUGGCCCAUCGACCUCUGCAGCACCGCACGCAGCGUCCAGCGGUACUGCUGCCGGUUCGAGCUUGAUGCACUCGACUGCAAUGGGGCCUCCUCCUAUAAGAAUGGAGCCUCAGACGUUUGGCGCUUAUGCUCCAAAAACGUCUCUCCCGUCGGGUUCGACGCCAGCUGCUCCGUACUCUCAGGGCUUUACUCAGCAUGCGUGGUUGAUGGGAGCUCCUGCACACGGUGGUCUGUUCGGUAUGCCAGACUGGGACGGCGGCUGCGUCAGUUUGUCGGAGUUGGAGGGCGGCGGCGCCGGGGCAGACAUUAUUGGCCCCUCACAGACGUAUGACGCUUCACCUCUACAGGCCCAGGAUGACCCGUUCACCGUGCUUCAGAUGCACUCACGUAUUCAGAGGGGCACAUACGUUGACGACCUAGGACUAGGGGGAGGAACAAGAGAGCACGAAGACCGGGACAGGCGGAGUAGAUACUCCUAAUUCGGUGGACUCUGUAUAUUUAAACUGUUUUUUGUAUCAUACUAUUUUAUUUUUAAUGGCUUGAUGUAUCGUACGAUUGUAAUAUUUGGAUUUUACGUUGCAAAACA